ensembl:lincRNA E130006D01Rik RIKEN cDNA E130006D01 gene
AGGGGACAUUAGGACUUAGCACGAGAGCCACCCGGCUCUGGGCUGCGGAGGAGGUUGGAGGUGACCUUCCAGAAGGAACGUGGGACAAGGGAGCAAGUGAGGACCUGGUGGGUAGUGGUUACUCUGUGAGAAGCCAGCAGCACCAACCAAAUAGAAGGUGGAGAAGUGGCCCCCAGCUUCCCAGUUUGGGUUUGGGCCAAGACAACUAAGAAAAGGGUCCACCGUCUUCACUCCAGGUCAGAUGACCCUGCAUUGUAUCAAGUAGAAAAAUGUCUAACCAGGACAGAGGAGAAUACGAACCCUCUCAGCUCAUAGACAGGUGAUGAUGUGGUUUCCAACUGACUUUCAAGCAAACAGAUUUCCAAGCAUGCUUGAAGAGGGCAGUAAAUGAGAAGGCACAAGAUGCAAGAAGAGAGAGGGGUUUGCUGGAAAUCGUGGCUGACCACCUCAGAAGGACCCAGAAGACCCGAACUUUCUGGUUUUGCCUUUCACCUUGCUCUGAAACUUCUCCCAACACUGGAAGACAAGAAAGUUCCGCCCUACCUCCGCCCCACCUCCGCCCCCCGGACCAGGGAGAUUCUUCUCUUUGGGCAAGCAGGCUUGCUGGGCAAUCGUGAGCUGCUGAGUUCCCAUUCCCAUAGAAAGCUGGACAUGGACAUGCAAGCCUGUUUCUGCAGCAUGCUCAACUCCAGGAGCUCUCUGGUCUCCUAUAAAUAAAGGAUAACACAU